rnacentral:rRNA from 1 species
AAGACCUUGCACUUUUGGAGCGGCCGAUGUCUGGUUAGCUAGUUGGUGGGGUAAUGGCCUACCAAAGCUUCGAUCAGUAGCUGGUCUGAGAGGRCGGCCAGCCACACUGGGACUGAGACACGGCCCAGACUCCUACGGGAGGCAGCAGUGGGGAAUUUUGGACAAUGGGCGCAAGCCUGAUCCAGCCAUGCCGCGUGAGUGAAGAAGGCCUUCGGGUUGUAAAGCUCUUUCAGCCGGGAAGAAAAGGUUGCGAYUAAUAAUCGCAAUCCAUGACGGUACCGAAAGAAGAAGCACCGGCUAACUACGUGCCAGCAGCCGCGGUAAUACGUAGGGUGCGAGCGUUAAUCGGAAUUACUGGGCGUAAAGGGUGCGCAGGCGGUUUUGUAAGUCAGAUGUGAAAUCCCCGGGCUUAACCUGGGAACU